rnacentral:rRNA from 1 species
UACGGAGGGUGCCAGCGUUCUCCGGAUUCACUGGGUUUAAAGGGUGCGUAGGGGGGUUUGUAAGUCAGUGGUGAAAUCUCCAAGCUUAACUUGGAAACUGCCGUUGAUACUAUAAAUCUUGAAUGUUGUGGAGGUGAGCGGAAUAUGUCAUGUAGCGGUGAAAUGCUUAGAUAUGACAUAGAACACCAAUUGCGAAGGCAGCUCACUACACAAAGAUUGACACUGAGGCACGAAAGCGUGGGGAUCAAACAGG